rnacentral:lncRNA from 1 species
CAGAGGUCCUCAGGCAGACUGCUGCACAGGGGAACAGUGAAGUCAUAGCCCCCAGGCACUACUGCAUUGUCAGGUGAAUCAAAUUCAAGAGGAUUAAAUAGCACAGUAUGCAAAAUUCUUGCUCCCUCAAUCCCUUCUGAUUUCCGGUUCUCAGGAAAAAUCAGCAGCCAGCUGCUGACAAGACCAGGAUUAGAACUCCCUGACUGGACACAUAGGAGACUUUGCUAUAAAAAUGUGAUGAGGAGAGGAAGUAAUUGCAUAAUCUACAUUUGGCCUGGCAGUCAGCCUUCUGACCUACAAACUUACAUGAUCCACUUCCAAUAAGUCAGGAAGAAAAGACUAUUAAUUUGAGCACAGUGUUAUAUGGAGAUGUAUUUGUACCUUCCAGUGACCAGUGAAAUCGUGGACUUUUGAUACAGAAGAAUUUUUACAUUCUUUCUGAAUAAGACAGUCCCUUUAAAGAAGCAUGCAAGCAUUUUGUCAACAAUGAAAUCCAUCAGGUGAAGGAGCUGUUUUCCCACAGCAYGCAAACAUUUAAACAACUUUAACUGACAUGCUUGUCUCAGCUCGGAUUGGCUCCUCUAUC